rnacentral:rRNA from 2 species
UUAACCGUAUAGGGGAGCCGGAGGGAAACCGAGUCUUAACCGGGCGUUAAGUUGCAGGGUAUAGACCCGAAACCCGGUGAUCUAGCCAUGGGCAGGUUGAAGGUUGGGUAACACUAACUGGAGGACCGAACCGACUAAUGUUGAAAAAUUAGCGGAUGACCUGUGGCUGGGGGUGAAAGGCCAAUCAAACCGGGAGAUAGCUGGUUCUCCCCGAAAGCUAUUUAGGUAGCGCCUCGUGAAUUCAUCUCCGGGGGUAGAGCA